AGUCGUAACAAGGUUUCCGUAGGUGAACCUGCGGAAGGAUCAUUAGCAAAUCAUCAGGGUGCGCCGCCGCAGGCGGUGCACAUCUGUCCCGGGGAGAAAGUCUGAUUUGAUUUUCUCCCUGUGUUCAAUGUGCUCAGAUGAAAUAUUCUGUGUCCAAGUGCUCCACGGAAAUGUAAAUCACAACCAAAAAACCAAAACAUAAAACAACUUUUAACAAUGGAUCUCUGGGCUCCU
rnacentral:misc_RNA from 1 species